GUGUCAGCAGCCGCGGUAAAACGUAGGACGCAAGCGUUAUCCGGAUUUAUUGGGCGUAAAGCGCGUCUAGGCGGCGUCUUAAGUUGGGCGUGAAAUCUUCCGGCUCAACCGGAAGGGGCCGUCCAAUACUGGGGCGCUUGAGGGCAGCAGGGGGAGGUGGAAUUCCCGGUGUAGCGGUGGAAUGCGUAGAUAUCGGGAGGAACACCAGUGGCGAAGGCGGCCUCCUGGGCUGUACCUGACGCUGAAGCGCGAAAGCGUGGGGAGCGAACGGGAUUAGAUACCCCGGUAGUCCACGCUGUAAACGAUGGAUACUAGGUGUUGGUGGUAUUGACCCCAUCAGUGCCGCAGCUAACGCGUUAAGUAUCCCGCCUGGGGACUACGGCCGCAAGGCUAAAACUCAAAUGAAUUGACGGGA
rnacentral:rRNA from 1 species